rnacentral:rRNA from 1 species
GCAUUAUCUUAAACCCCGGGCAGCCCCGUCAUCAGUUUUCACAAAGCUAAACAGGGUCAGACCUGAUUAGUAUUGGAUGGGAGACCACCAAGGCAAAAAUGAGAAAGGUAAUGCA